rnacentral:rRNA from 1 species
AGAAUCAACGCUGGCGGCGUGCCUAACACAUGCAAGUCGAACGAGAAAGGGACUUCGGUCCUGAGUAAAGUGGCGCACGGGUGAGUAACACGUGACUAACCUACCUUUGAGCGGGGGAUAACCUAGGGAAACCUGGGCUAAUACCGCAUAAUACCUACGGGUCAAAGCGAGUAAUCGCACUUAAAGAGGGGGUCGCGGCAGAUUAGCUAGUUGGUGAGGUAAUGGCUCACCAAGGCGAUGAUCUGUAUCCGGCCCGAGAGGGCGACCGGCCACACUGGGACUGAGACACGGCCCAGACUCCUACGGGAGGCAGCAGUGGGGAAUAUUGCGCAAUGGGCGAAAGCCUGACGCAGCGACGCCGCGUGGGGGAUGAAGGCCUUCGGGUUGUAAACCCCUUUCAGCAGGGACGAAGCGAAAGUGACGGUACCUGCAGAAGAAGCGCCGGCUAACUACGUGCCAGCAGCCGC